AUCCACUGAGCAGAGUUUGAUUAAAGUCGAAGGAUUUUCACAGUGUUUAAGACUGAACCAGGCCUCAUCACCCACUGUGGGACCCAUCUUUAUUUUCUCUUAUCCCAAAUUUACAUUUUUUUUAAAAAAGGAUGAUGUCAGUAUAAUUAAAAAUCUUUAUUCUUCCUUCUCUGUGGCAGCAGAACCAUCAGAGUCUGUAUUUGCUGUUGCUCAGAGCCAUUUAAAAGGUCAUUAGCGAUGAACUUAAAUGUUUGAAGAGGGAGAUCAAUUUUUUUUCCUGCAGACAGACAGACGACCAGAGAGUCUGCCCGUCUGCACACUGCUGCGUUCGUCAGCCAUGAUUCUGUCUGCGGUGACAUCAGAGAAAAACAGUCAAUUCUCUGCUGAAACCAUGUGACCAGAGUGUGGCGCUGAUGAGCGUUAGGCUGCUAUGCUCGCCGCUUCUCUAAGACUGCCCCCUGCCCCGUACUGCAGCCCUCGGUCCUGAUGCAGAGGAGAACACUGUGUCACACACCUGAGAAUAAUGUGUUCUUUCCUCCUUGAGACAAUGGUCCGGUGGUUGUUUACUGUAUGUCCUCAGUUUUAUGUCUUGUUGUUCAUAAAUAGCCCCUGGCACAAAUGGCACUGGGGUUAAGUGACUGUGUGACAGGGCAACAGUGUUCUGAGGUGACGUUGCUUGGCUCCAGUUGACUUCUGUAGUUUCACAACAGAAUAUUCCCACGAGUUAAAUUAAAAAGACAUUGGAUUUUUUUUAUCUGCCAAAUCCCAGCCUCAGAGUCUUUCUCUACUAAUUUCCCAGUUUUAUGUAAAACAGAUGAUUUCUGAUCUUAGUUAUCUUAGGACAGAAUAAAUGAAAAUUGACGUCUAAUUUGUUCCGCAGUUUUCCACAUGGCCUGUAAUAAUUUAAGUUCCUGCUUCUAUAAUAAUUACAAGGACUUGGGUCGCGGUCAAAUUCAGUUUUUAAACUAUUCCUAACUCGCUUUCUGUGUUGUAUUCAUUUCAAUCCAUUUUAAUCUCAGGUCUGUUGGUGGACAUGGGUAGAAUAGUCUUGGUGGUUCUGGCUAAUACACAUCAAAUUAAAAUUAUAUCUAAAAUUUUAAUUUGAUAUAUUAGCCAUAUAUCCAGGCUGUUGAUAUAUCUAUAUCUAUAUAUAUAUAUAGUUACAGUUCAUUAGGUGAAACCACAGAGAAGUACUGGGAAAUCAUAGAGUAAUUGAUAUUGUACCAUACCACUGUAUGUUUGUGUAUAAUUUCCCCAGUGAGCGGUGCAGCAGUGUGGACAGCGUGGACGGUAGAACGGGGACAGAGUUCAUCCACUGUUGCCUGGAUGGAGACACCGCAGCAGCUCACUGAGGCUGGUUAAUGGAUUGUUGGACUGGGCAAAGCCUUGGCCACCAUUUCCCCAGCAACACUGGGUUAAACUAAUCACCAUCUGGUGUGUAACUGCUUCCAUGCAAACACGCUGACGGUUUUGGGACAUAUCCUGGUUCUUUCAUGCAGAAAAACAGUCGUGUCAGGAAAAUAAUUGUCCUGCCAGACUCACACCUCCUUGUUAGCACGGUAAAGUGCACACAGCAGUGCUAACCCAGUCGUCUCAGGCCUCUCUAAGUCAGACGUCCAACCCAACAGAGUGACGGACAGGAUCGCUGCUAAGAUCCAGCCUUGACAACAAAGAGCAAUUCUUUUAAUCCUUGCCGGAAUCAUUCAAACUUUGACCUUUUGCUGGAUAUAAUAGCAUUUUCCUGUUGUGUCCAGGCUGUUGCAGAUAGGAUAUCCUCCCAUGCUUGACCCCAUCUGACCUGGUGACAGCAUGACACAGGCCGUUUGUGAGGUACGUGUUGAAGAGCAGCCAGUUGAGCAGUUCUUCCAUGGAGUCAGACGACUUCUGUGCGUCCCAUGGAACAGAGAUGGUGAACCCUGCCACCAACCCCGACUCGCUUCUCUUACGGCCCAGAAGUCAUGGAAGAGAGCGACUCACCCUCCCAUAGACACGCCUACACCAAGGACAGGGGCAGCAGGGAAGACUCCUUUAACGUGCUUCACCACAAAUUCUAAAUCGGAGGUGUCAGCCGCGCAGUAGGUGACAGGAGUCUGAGAGAAGCAGUCGUACACAGGACAGAAAAAACUGAGAACAAAUCCUCACUGUCUGUCACUGUUAAAUAUGUACAUUUUAUUUAGUUAAUUUGUGAAACUAAUCAGAACCUAAUUAGAUCUGCAUACAGAUCUAAGUCCACUGAGCAUCCACUUAUUGUUGCUCUAAUACACAGUCCACACACGUUAAUAUGUAUACCCGUUACAAAGGCUUUAAAUACCAUCUCAACGUCCAGCAUGUGUUUGUGGAGGCUUCAGCUUCUGGUCAGAUGCUUCAGACUUGUUCUACAAGUCAUGACGCACAGUGAUGACUAAAAGUUAAACUUCUGCAUCAUUUUCUUGACAGUUUUCCAUAUUAUGAAUUCCAUAAUUUGUAUUAGUCACAAAUAAAAACAGAAACACAUACA